rnacentral:rRNA from 1 species
CAGUAGCCGCGGUAAUACGUAGGUGGCAAGCGUUGUCCGGAAUUAUUGGGCGUAAAUGGCUCGCAGGCGGUUUCUUAAGUCUGAUGUGAAAGCCCCCGGCUCAACCGGGGAGGGUCAUUGGAAACUGGGAAACUUGAGUGCAGAAGAGGAGAGCGGAAUUCCACGUGUAGCGGUGAAAUGCGUAGAGAUGUGGAGGAACACCAGUGGCGAAGGCGACUCUCUGGUCUGUAACUGACGCUGAGGAGCGAAAGCGUGGGGAGCGAACAGGAUUAGAUACCCCGGUAGUCCCUGUCUCUUAUAC